CCGCACCCCGGGAACGGACCCGCACCCCGCUCCCCUCGGGGGGCUCGGACCGGGCCGGGUGUGCCCUGGGAUGGGGAGAAAUGUCACUCAGGGCUGUCACCCCCGGGAGGGGCUGGGGCAGCCGGGUUGGGCGCCCCAAAGGGAGCUGGGCACCCCAAAAGGAGCUGGGCACCCAAAGUGAGGCGUCUGCGGGGUUUUCUUAUUGCCUCCCCCUUCAGUAUUCACUGAAAGAGGGUUGGUUUGUUCACCCCCAUGGCUGCAGCGCCGGUAUUUAGGAAUGGGGAUCCUCUGCCUGCGCAUGUGUCCGCAUUUUCCAUCCUCGUACCACAACACCCGAGAAUUGCCUUUUUGGUCCGGCACGGGUGGCAGCCUUGGGAGCUGCAAUCGGCCCUCCAAGGACUCUCCGUCUGAGCCCACCCCAGCCUGCCUUGUUUUGCUUCUGUGGAGAGGGAAAUCUUGAGUGCGUCGAUUCCUUCUGUAUCUAACUCCCUCCGCAGCUUCUCCGCUCUCUCAGCGCGCGUUCAGCGCCCAGCCCGCCGUGCUGGGGGCUCUGGGGACCCUCCUGUGAGAUGCAAAGCUGUGUUUCGUGUCAGGUACAAACAGGCGAUGUGUGUAUUUGUGAAUGUGAAAUGUGUGGACCCCGACAAUGGGAGAGCUGUGAAUUCUAAUAAUAACUGAGGAAAAUAAAGCAUGGAAAAAGGCCUUUGAACCUAUCUUUUGUUUGUAAAUUAACCCUAGUUGAUUUAGGAGCAUUGGAAUUAAGGUGUUAAAGACGUUGCUUUUUGCUUGCAUUUAAUCCAUAAAAAAGCUCUGCAAUAAUAACCUUUUGAAGUAUAAUGUUAGAAUAUUACUUGUAUCCUUGAAACUAUAGCUUUGGAAUAUAUAUAAAGGAAAUAUGCUUAUCUCACGCCUUAUUGAAGCAGAGAAAAACAGCUUGAGAAAGGAAGAUGAACAUCACCUCAAGGGUUUAUGGUUUCAACCAAAGGGAAGCUGGACAUCACUGUUAUGAGAUUUAGAGUCUCUGCAAUUAAAAGGUGGACACACAUCUGGGGAGCUGGACCCCAUCAGAUGGGAUUUGUCUUUCUUCUUUCAGAAACUGGACCGUCACCAUCUGGGGAUACUCCUUUGAGAUACAUCCUGAGAAAUUAAAAUCACAAUAGUGUAUAGAAUUGUGAUGUAAUAAUUUGGAAUGAAAAUUGCUGUUGAGUAAAAGAUUGGAAAUAGAAACUGCUGAAAAAAACUGAUGAGUGCCCCUAUAAAUACCUGUAACCAUCAAUUAUCAGUGUGCAGUUGGAGGGAAAACUUCCCCCACUGCACCCAGCGCUGUAUUGCUCAUACUUUACCACAUUAAAUAAUAAAUUGAUUGCUGCUUGAA